GGUUAGCACAGCCGAGUCCUUUACAGUUACUCGGCGCAGUUCGUUGCAUCCUAACGGAACCGCCGCUGUUCCGGAAACGUCGCGAAGGAUCCACAUCCGAUCGCCUCGAUUGCGUCACUGUCCUCUGUUGCGGUUCGUGAUUAAAGAAACACGUUUUAAAUUCAUUUUUAUAUUAAAGCUCGAUGAUACGCGUCGCGUCACAUUUCUAUAUAACGAUAUAAUACUAAUUUUACAAUAGAAAUAUGCAAAUUAAUUAACAUCCAAAAAUCGGCAAUUAGAUCUUCCAUAAUGAUGAAAACAUGUAGCAAAAGAGCAUGUUUUUCUUAACUGAAUCAAA